UACGUAGGGUCCGAGCGUUGUCCGGAGUUACUGGGCGUAAAGCGCGCGCAGGCGGCGGUGCUGGCCCGGCGUGAAAGCCCCCCGGCUCAACCGGGGGAGGGUCGUCGGGGACCGCACCGCUUGAGGGCGGUAGGGGCUGGUGGAAUGCCUGGUGUAGUGGUGAAAUGCGUAGAGAUCAGGCGGAACACCCGUGGCGAAGGCGGCCAGCUGGGCCGUCCCUGACGCUGAGGCGCGAAGGCGUGGGGAGCGAACGGG
rnacentral:rRNA from 1 species